ensembl:lncRNA
AUUAUGUCUUAAUUGAAACUACUGUUUUAAAUAAGCGCAGUUUAGAGAAAUGUACCUCUUUUUUCUCUUCAGACUGGCAGGUCGGUGACGGCAGCCAUGACAGUUCCAUCCGGGUUCCGCUCCCUUCACUGCGCGUGAGGCAGGAACUCAGAGCGGAUGAAUAUGGAUUACCUGAAAGACUCAUUAGAAGAGCAUGAAUGUCGUUUCUGAUGGACCAAGGUGCAAUUGACAAAACAAGUAUAUGCAGGUGUUCAUGACAACGGGAAUUUAAUCAAGAGCACAUUAAACCUAACAUAACAAGAACAAUAGAGCAACGUGACGAGCAAUAAACAUGAGUUUUUGAACCACACAGUUCCUCUGUAGAAGGUGGUGAGGAUGGGUGGUGGGAGGCUGGCUCUCUUCAACUUCGAUGUUUUGCCUUCUUCACAGCGGAGUUGGCGUUGAUGGACCAGGCCCAGUACUGUCGUGUCAUCAGCAAACUUGACAAUGAAGUUGGAUUCUGACUUGGCUGUGCAGUCGUGGGUGAGCAGCGUGAACAGCAGUGAACUGAGCACACAGCCUUGAGGGGCACCUGUGCUCAAUGUGAUGGUGCCUGAUGUCCUUCACCCAUACACACUGACUGUGUUCUCUCUAUCAAUGUGAUAAGACAGAGUGCAGUGUGUAGGAGAUAGCAUCAUCUGUAGAGUGGUUGGGUCGGUAUGCAAAUUGUAGUGGGUCCAGUGAAGAGGGCAAAGUGGAGUGAAUGUGUCUUUUAACCAGACGUUCCAAGCACUUCAUUGUUAUGGGAGUCAGUGCUACAGGGCGGUAAUCAUUAAGACGUCACUGUUGACUGUGGUCUUUUUGAAGCACAUAGGGACCAUAAAAUAAAUUUUAUGUUACACACUAUUAUACAAUUUUUUACACAAAG